rnacentral:rRNA from 1 species
UGAGUGCGAGCUGCUACGGCAGCGAAGUUGGUGACGUCAAGCUUCCAAGAAAAGCCCUAUACCCGUUAAGGCAUCAUGGCCUGUACCCGAAACCGACACAGGUGGGGUGGUAGAGAAUACCGAGGGGCGCGAGGUAACUCUCUCUAAGGAACUCGGCAAAAUGGCCCCGUAACUUCGGGAGAAGGGGUGCCACCGCAAGGUGGUCGCAGUGAAGAGGCCCAGGCGACUGUUUACCAAAAACACAGGUCUCCGCUAAGUCGCAAGACGAUGUAUGGGGGCUGACGCCUGCCCAGUGCCGGAAGGUUAAGGAAGCUGGUCAGCGCAAGCGAAGCUGGCGACUGAAGCCCCGGUGAACGGCGGCCGUAACUAUAACGGUCCUAAGGUAGCGAAAUUCCUUGUCGGGUAAGUUCCGACCCGCACGAAAGGCGUAACGAUCUGGGCGCUGUCUCGGAGAGAGGCUCGGCGAAAUAGAAUUGUCUGUGAAGAUGCGGACUACGUGCACCCGGACAGAAAGACCCUAUGAAGCUUUACUGUAGCUUGGUAUUGUGCCCGGGCUCUGAAUGCGCAGGAUAGGUGGGAGGCUUUGAUCAUCGGCUUGCGGGUCGAUGUGAGCCAACGGUGAGAUACCACUCUUUCAGAGCUAGGGUUCUAACAGUCACCCGUUAUCCGGGGACUGGACAGUAUCAGGUGGGCAGUUUGACUGGGGCGGUCGCCUCCUAAAAGGUAACGGAGGCGCGCAAAGGUCUGCUCAGGCUGGUUGGAAAUCAGCCGACGAGUGUAAAAGCAGAAGCAGGCUUGACUGUGAGACCUACAAGUCGAACAGGGAGGAAACUCGGCUUUAGUGAUCCGACGGUUCUGCGUGGAAGGGCCGUCGCUCAACGGAUAAAAGUUACUCUAGGAUAACAGGCUGAUCUCCCCCAAGAGUUCACAUCGACGGGGGGGUUUGGCACCUCGAUGUCGGCUCAUCGCAACCUGGGGCUGAAGUCGGUCCCAAGGGUUGGGCUGUUCGCCCAUUAAAGCGGUACGCGAGCUGGGUUCAGAACGUCGUGAGACAGUUCGGUCCAUAUCCGGUGCAUGCGCAGGAAUAUUGAGAGGAGUUCUCCCUAGUACGAGAGGACCGGGAGGAACGCACCUCUGGUGUACCAGUUAUCGUGCCAACGGUAAACGCUGGGUAGCCAUGUGCGGAGAGGAUAACCGCUGAAAGCAUCUAAGUGGGAAGCCCACCUCAAGAUGAGUAUUCCCAUGGCGUUAGCCAGUAAGGUCACGGGAAGAACACCCGUUGAUAGGCUCUAUGUGGAAGCGCAGUAAUGCGUGAAGCAGAGGAGUACUAAUAGACC